rnacentral:rRNA from 1 species
UUUCGCAAUGCCCGAAAGGGUGACGAAGCGACGCCGCGUGGGUGAGGAAGGCCUUCGGGUUGUAAAGCCCUGUCAGGAGUUAUGAAAUGUAAGUGCGCUAAUAUCGUGCUUAUUUGACAAAGGCUCCAAAGGAAGCCACGGCUAACUCUGUGCCAGCAGCCGCGGUAAUACAGAGGUGGCGAGCGCUGUUCGGAAUUAUUGGGCGUAAAGAGCACGUAGGUGGGUUUGCAAGUCAGAUGUGAAAGCCUUCUGUUCAACGGAAGAAUUGCAUCUGAAACUGCUAAUCUUGAGUAUAGGAGGGGAGAAUGGAACUUCUGGUGGAGCGGUGAAAUGCGUAGAUAUCAGAAGGAACGCCGGCGGCGAAAGCGAUUCUCUGGCCUAUUACUGACACUCAGUGUGCGAAAGCUAGGGGAGCAAACGGGAUUAGAUACCCCGGUAGUCCUAGCCGUAAACGAUGGGCACUAAGUAGAGGGGUUUUA